UAGUUUUUGUUAGCCUCUUCUAAAAUUUUAUACGUGGCUGAAAGUUACAAAUCGUCUUGAACAUAAACCCUCCAUCUCCCUAUUGGAACCCUAAUGGCCUAAUCCAUCAUCUUUCUGCCAUACGUUCACCUUCAGCGCUUAGCCAACUUUGAGAAAAAAAAUUGAUAAUAUCCAAUUUCCACAGUUCAUCAACAUCGAUUGAAGCUCAUCUUGGUUUGGUAGGUGAUUUGCACCAAAAUUUUGAGAAAAAAAUGAGGAAAUUAGGUUAUAGAAAUCUUAUAACCAAAAUUUAUGGUUAUGAAUUUAGUUCUUCGUAUGUGGUUAUGUUGGUUUUUCUGAAUUUGGUGUGGCCUGGUCAAAUUACUCUUAAGUUUGAAAAUUAGGGCUUGAUUUGGCUCACUAUUGAUAUGAUGUUACUUGUUUAACUAAACCGUGGUUUAUGAAAUUUUCAAUUUCGUUGUUACCUAUGCUAUAUAAAAUCUGAGGAUUAUUAUUUUGCUGUGUUUAAUUUUCAUGCAGUUUCAGGAUCUUGUUAGAAGUUGGGUGUUCAUGGUUUGGUUUCAAACCGGUCAUUGGUUUGGUUCGCGAUCUAUUUAAAAAAUUCAAACUGUAUCAAACGGUUUGGUAUAUGGUUUAUACUGAAAACCGGGCGAAGAAAACCAGAUUUACCGUAAGAUUUAAGCAUAUAUUUAAGUUUUUAGAUAAUUCAUAUCGAAUAUAUUUAAUUAUUGCUUAAUGCAAAUAAAUCUAUUCUAAAUGACUUAAUUGAAGUACAGUGCAUUAUAUUAGCUUAAAAUAAAAAUGGGCUUAAUAAACAUAUUGUUGCUCUCAAUCUACCAUCAGGUAUUUGUGCACAUUGUAUUACUAUAACCCUCAAUGAGCAAUUCUUUGGCUCAGCACAAAAUCGGUUAGGGCGAGUUGACUCAAAGCACUUCUUUUAGGAUACAAUAUACAGAAGUAACUUAAGUAUAAGUUUUUUUUUUCAUCAAGGUCACCAAACUAUUAUGAUAGUUUUAGAGGCCAUCUAAGUAUCAGUUUGUUUUCGUUUAUUGUAAUUCUGUUGCCAAGAAAUCGUAAUUAGUUAAAGCUCUUGACACCUGUAGAGUUCUAAAAAUGACAAAAAUGCUCAUGAUCGUACUUAAAAGAAUCAAGUUUACAUGAAUUGACAACGCAUAUUUGACUAGAUUUAGGGACGUGGCAUGUAAGAGAUCACCAAGAAAAUGAAAAAAAUGCUCAUGAUGUUACACCUUGUUGGCAGGUAUAUAUUUAUGUCUGGUUUGUAUUGUAAAUAGCAUUGAUAUAAAAUAUUUUCUUACUACGAAGGGAAGGAUCUGCUAAAGAUGUUCACAUCACUUAUUAUAUUAUAUUGCUGAAAACUUGGAUGUUUUAUAUGGUUUUGCAGCUCUUCUCAGAUACUAUUCCCAAGACCUCAGAGAAUUUUCGGGCACUUUAUGCGUGUAAGAUCAGGCCUGGCCCAAUGGAGGGGCGGGGUGGGCGAUCGCCGAAGGCCCACUCUCCCGAGGGGCCGGGGAUGUUUUGAUAAAAAUAUAUAUUGGUUUAAAUAGUCCAUUCAACUCAUACAUUCGCAUACCAUACAAUAAAAUGUUUGUAGUCUAGUUGGAAAUACCAUCUCGAAACACUGCAUAGGUCUUUGCUUCGAGACCCAGCAGUGGCGUUUUUAUUUUUUUAUGCAUGGUAGAUUCCUUAUUAAGUGAGGAUAGAUUCACUAAGAUUUGGCCCAUAAGUGUAAACUGAAGUAUAAAAAUAUAUACAUAUUCAUUAUUGGUGUGACCUUUUUUUUUAACUUUAUUUAGCAUCAUGUAUAUAUUUCUUUGUUUUUAAUGUCUUUCAUACUCUCUAUAAAUAGUAGUUUCAAGUUCAAAUUUGUUGACGAGCCAAGCUCGAGUUGGCUCGGUAGGGGCCCGUCUUUUUACUCUCCUAGGCCCCGAAAAUUUUAAAGAUUCUCAGGGACGGCCCUGGGUAAGAUGUACUCAUGUACACCAAUUACUUUAAUAAAUUAUACAUUGUUAGUUUAUUUUCUACCUAGUUCUUUGAUUCUUUCUACUCCUAUAAGUCUUGGUGGUCUGUCUUUUAGUCGGCUAUGCUUGUUUACACUGUAGGAUACACGAUUGAUGGUCACUACUGCUUUUCUUGUGAUGUAGUUUUAAGGUUGUACUUAUUGGGUACUUGGUUACAUAUCCUCACACAAUUUUGUAGAUAUCAUACAAGUCUAGCUUUAUGCAAUGAAUUUCUAAUAUAGUUACACUAAUUUCUGGUAUCUGUUUUGCAGGGUUGUGAUUUUUUUAAAUGUGAUGGAAGUCAUGGAGAGAGCAUAGAUGGUGGGAAAUUUCCAGGUGAGAAUUAAGUCUUGUAUUUGUUUCAAUUUUGAUUGUGUUGAUAUGGUCGCAGUGGUUGUGGAAUUUCAUUUAAUUGUUCCAAAUGGACUGUUGAAAAGUGAUGGCUAGGUGAUCGGAGUCGCGGCUGGAUUUCAAAUAUGGUCAACAUCUGGUUAUAGUUGAUAGGUAAAUGCAGUCAAAAGAUAAGUCAGAUAAAGUCAACUGUCAUGUGCGUAAACGGUUAUACUAUCAUUAAGUUGGAUGACACUGAAGGUAAUUAGUUUAAUAUCAUUAAGUCAUAAUAUUCGAAUGAGCCGAGCUUAAAUGAGCUCAAGAUCCCGAGCCUAAAAAAGCAAGCUCGUUUACUAAACGAGCCCGAGCUUCACUUAUAGAGCUCGAGCCGGCUCGCGAGCCUAUAGUUUAUAUAAGUUUUUAUUACUAUAUUAAAUAUAUAUAUUUAAAUAAUAAUACUAAUAAUAAUAAAGUUAUGAAAAAAUAACUAAAUUAUAUAUAAAUAAUAAUAAUUAAUAUAAAUUAACUAACAAAUAGAAAACGAGCUGAGCUCGAACUUGAACAAUACCCACGAGCUGAGCUCAAGAUUAUAAAACAAAGCUCGAAUUGAAUCGAGUUCUCAUAAGUUAAAUGGGCUCGGCUCGGCUCGGCUUGUUUGCACCCUGGCCGGAAGGAAGGUAUAUAAAGCUGUAUUUCAGUAUGCAUAUUCUUAUAAGUUUGUACUUAUAAUUUAAUGUAUUCUCAACCAGGAUUCAAAAGUGUCGCCUAAUGAAGACGUCUUCUAGAGAAGAGCUAUGCUCACCCAAAUUACAAAAAAAGGUUGGUCGAAAUGAGCAAAACAGAGCAGGUUGUUCAUGCCAUGCGACCAGGAGCACCUCAACGUGUCAUAAAAUCACUUUUCAUCUUGGAAUGGAGAAAUCUAGCAGAUCAUGAAAAAAAAGACAAAAAAAAAAAAAUUACUAUAGGUCAGCAUGGUGAUGUAUGCAUACGAAGGGGUGAACUUGUAUUUGUGAUUUGUAUCCUUGCCUUGUAUUUUUUUUCUUACAAUAGUUGUAUAGAUAGUUGUUCCAGUGAUAGAGUGGGACUUGUAUUUUGAACACGUCAAAGUGUUCCAAUUAGAUAGUAUUUAAGUUGUUUAAAAUUUGUUCUUAGAAUAUAUGUAGAGUGAUAAUAAUUCAUUACAUUUUGGCGUGUUUGACCGGUUUCAGUUUAAAAUGCUAUAUUAUUA